AACGAACGCUGGCGGCGUGCCUAACACAUGCAAGUCGUGCGAGAAAGUUCCUUCGGGAGCGAGUAAAGCGGCGCACGGGUGAGUAACACGUAGGUAACCUGCCCCCCAGUCUGGAACAACUAGAGGAAACUCUAGCUAAUGCCGGAUGAGACCACGAUCCCUUCGGGGUUGGCGGCCAAAGAUGGCCUCUACUUGUAAGCUAUCGCUGAGGGAUGGGCCGUGCGGGCCAUUAGCUUGUUGGUGAGGUAACGGCUCACCAAGGCUGUGAUGGCUAGCUGGUCGUGAGAGGAUGACCAGCCACACUGGGACUGAGACACGGCCCACGACUCCUACGGGAGGC
rnacentral:rRNA from 1 species